UACGAAGGGGGCUAGCGUUGCUCGGAAUCACUGGGCGUAAAGCGCACGUAGGCGGAUUGCUACGUCAGGGGUGAAAUCCUGGAGCUCAACUCCAGAACUGCCUUUGAUACUGGCGACCUUGAGUCCGGGAGAGGUGAGUGGAACUGCGAGUGUAGAGGUGAAAUUCGUAGAUAUUCGCAAGAACACCAGUGGCGAAGGCGGCUCACUGGCCCGGUACUGACGCUGAGGUGCGAAAGCGUGGGGAGCAAACAGG
rnacentral:rRNA from 1 species